UACGUAGGGUGCGAGCGUUGUCCGGAAUUAUUGGGCGUAAAGGGCUCGUAGGCGGUUUGUCGCGUCGGGAGUGAAAACCUCGGGCUUAACUCGGGGCUUGCUUUCGAUACGGGCAGACUGGAGGUAUGCAGGGGAGAACGGAAUUCCUGGUGUAGCGGUGAAAUGCGCAGAUAUCAGGAGGAACACCGGUGGCGAAGGCGGAUCUCUGGGCCUUACCUGACGCUCAGGCGCGAAAGCUAGGGGAGCGAACAGG
rnacentral:rRNA from 1 species